rnacentral:ncRNA from 2 species
CUGUAGAAAUACAAAAACACAGUUCGGUUGGUAGUCCGGACGCAUACGAGUAUGUCAGUAACCUUCCCCUCCGGGAUGUCCAGUAUUUCUGAAUCUUUU